rnacentral:rRNA from 1 species
GUGAACGCUGGCGAUAGGCCUAACACAUGCCAGUCGAACGGCAGCACAGUAAGAGCUUGCUCUUACGGGUGGCGAGUGGCGGACGGGUGAGGAAUACAUCGGAAUCUACUUUUUCGUGGGGGAUAACGUAGGGAAACUUACGCUAAUACCGCAUACGACCUACGGGUGAAAGCAGGGGAUCUUCGGACCUUGCGCGAUUGAAUGAGCCGAUGUCGGAUUAGCAAGUUGGCGGGGUAAAGGCCCACCAAGGCGACGAUCCGUAGCUGGUCUGAGAGGAUGAUCAGCCACACUGGAACUGAGACACGGUCCAGACUCCUACGGGAGGCAGCAGUGGGGAAUAUUGGACAAUGGGCGCAAGCCUGAUCCAGCCAUACCGCGUGGGUGAAGAAGGCCUUCGGGUUGUAAAGCCCUUUUGUUGGGAAAGAAAAGCAGCAGGUUAAUACCCCGCUGUUCUGACGGUACCCAAAGAAUAAGCACCGGCUAACUUCGUG